AACUUACAUCGGAAAUCCUUAACUAUAAAAGGUAGACAAAGCUGGUUACAUCAGUCUUUCUGCAUCGAUUCAAACUAGAGGUGAUUGCCAAACAUCAAGCGAAACAGUAAGAUGCAGGAACAAAAGUAUAUAAAACAAAAUUUACAGAUCUUGGAAAUCUAAGGACUCUAGCUCUUCUUAUAUAGUCUCAGGACACUGAAAGAAGUUUGGGCCAGCGUUGAUCAUAAGAGACAUCCUUCAAACACUUCAAAAACUAUAUUUACAUGUUCAUAUAGUAACUUUCAGUAGUACUUUUCAAUGUUCUGUUUUAACCAUACACAUUCAGAUGAGUAAGAAUAAAACCUGCCAAUGGUGUGAAUUUAUCAU